CCUACGGGUGGCAGCAGUGGGGAAUAUUGGGCAAUGGGCGCAAGCCUGACCCAGCAACGCCGCGUGAAGGAAGAAGGCUUUCGGGUUGUAAACUUCUUUUUAGCGGGAAGAGCAGAAGACGGUACCUCUUGAAUAAGCCACGGCUAACUACGUGCCAGCAGCCGCGGUAAUACGAAGGUGGCAGGCGUUUUCCGGAUUUACUGGGUGUAAAGGGCGUGCAGCCGGGAAGAACAGUGAGAUGUGAAAUCCCGCGGCGCAACCCCGGAACUGCAGUUGAAACUGUUUUUCUUGAGUACCGGAGAGGUCAGCGGAAUUCCUUGUGUAGCGGUGAAAUGCGUAGAUAUAAGGAAGAACACCGGUUGCGAAGGCGGAUGACUGGACGGCAACUGACGGUGAGGCGCGAAAGCGUGGGGAGCAAACAGGAUUAGAUACCCCUGUAGUC
rnacentral:rRNA from 1 species